ACAGUUGUCUAAAUUCAUGUUCAUUGUGUUUUACUUUUCAAAGGCUUAAUGGGUGUAACCUAACUGUGAAAUGCUGUGACGAUUUGGCUUCAGCUUUCAACUCAACCUCAAACCUAAGAGAGUUGGACUUAAGUGACAACAACCUGCAGGAUUCAGGAGUGGAGCUGCUCUGUGCUGGACUGGAGAAUCCACACUGUAAACUGGAGACACUGAGGUUGUCACACUGUCUGGUCACACAGAAAGGCUGUGCUUCUCUGGCCUCAGCUCUGAGGUCAAACCCCUCCUACCCGAGAGAGUUGGACCUGAGCUACAAUAUCCCAGGAGAGUCAGGAGCGAAGCAGCUCUCUGCUGGACUGGAGGAUCCACACUAGAGAUUGGAGAAACUCAAUGUUGACCACUGUGGAGAGUACUGGCUGCAGAAAAAAUGUAACGUUGACUGCUGUGAAGAAAUGUGAAAUGUGUUAUUAGUGAUGAAACAGGAAAUAGCAUAACCUCACUAAGAGUCUUUGUCAAGUUACUCAACUGGUCAAAUUAAAUAUGAACUACCAUUUUAAGGAAGUAGAAUCAGACACUAUUCCCACUGGGCACAGACAUCAGUUCAACGUCUAGUUUUGAUUUACAUUCGGUUGAGCUACUAACCUAAAUUCAACCAAAAAUGUCACCCUGUCAUUGGAUUUAUGUUAAAAGUUAGGUGAAAAAAUACAAACUUCCCUUACGUCGAUGACUUUUUGCAAAUCCAAACUGUUUUUUUGUUAUGACAUGGAAACAAUGUUGAUUCAACCAGUUUUUGCCCAGUGGAAUGUACUGUAUAGGCUUGAAUACAAAGGUCAUAUAAAGUUUAGACUGUAGAUUAAAAGACGAUAAAUGAAACACUAAAAAACAUAUUAUUUACAAGUAUUCUUUUUUUAGGGGGUAUAUCAGCUUUAAUAUUGCAGAUAGAUUGUAACUUCCAUCAAUGUAA